AUUGAACGCUGGCGGCAGGCCUAACACAUGCAAGUCGAGCGGCAGCGGAAAGUAGCUUGCUACUUUGCCGGCGAGCGGCGGACGGGUGAGUAAUGUCUGGGAAACUGCCUGAUGGAGGGGGAUAACUACUGGAAACGGUAGCUAAUACCGCAUAACGUCGCAAGACCAAAGAGGGGGACCUUCGGGCCUCCUGCCAUCAGAUGUGCCCAGAUGGGAUUAGCUAGUAGGUGGGGUAAUGGCUCACCUAGGGGACGAUCCCUAGCUGGUCUGAGAGGAUGACCAGCCACACUGGAACUGAGACACGGUCCAGACUCCUACGGGAGGCAGCAGUGGGGAAUAUUGCACAAUGGGCGCAAGCCUGAUGCAGCCAUGCCGCGUGUAUGAAGAAGGCCUUCGGGUUGUAAAGUACUUUCAGCGGGGAGGAAGGCGAUAAGGUUAAUAACCUUGUCGAUUGACGUUACCCGCAGAAGAAGCACCGGCUAACUCCGUGCCAGCAGCCGCCGUAA
rnacentral:rRNA from 1 species